UUUCCUCUCUAAUGGCUGUUUAUUUAUAGCAUUGGAACAUGAGGCAAGUGUAGGCCCACUGACUGUCUUCACAUGGAAAAAUGACCUGGGAGUGUUUGUGCCCCCUGGAGUGAAGGAAGGCAUUCCUCACUUUUCUUCUGCUAGAGGCAAGAAGCCAAUACCACAUGACCGCCUCUGGGAAAAUGAAGUCUAUGCCGGCAUGGAGGCAGAUGAGGGAAAUGAUGCCUUUGGGCCCACAAAUUCUCCAGUUGCCUUGCCCACCUCUGGGUCUCAGCUGUGGGAAAUGGAGAUGACUGCAGCAGAAGGUAAGGCUGGUUUAACAGGCUGUCAAAUUCCAUCUCUUGAUUCAAUAAUUGUGUCCCAGGAUCAGGAUUUGUCUGGUGAGCAAGAGAACAAUGUGAGCCUUGUAUGAGGGGCCGUGCG
ensembl:lncRNA